rnacentral:sRNA from 1 species
ACGGCUUGAAUGAUUCGAUAGAACGAUGGUAGAGAUGGAAGAUGGAAGUUUUGUCAUUGAAUCCACAACAACACACGAACU